rnacentral:rRNA from 1 species
GAUGAACGCUGGCGGCGUGCCUAAUACAUGCAAGUAGAACGCUGAAGGAAGGAGCUUGCUCUUUCCGGAUGAGUUGCGAACGGGUGAGUAACGCGUAGGUAACCUGCCUGGUAGCGGGGGAUAACUAUUGGAAACGAUAGCUAAUACCGCAUAACAGUAGAUGUUGCAUGAUAUCUACUUAAAAGGUGCAAUUGCACCACUACCAGAUGGACCUGCGUUGUAUUAGCUAGUUGGUGAGGUAACGGCUCACCAAGGCGACGAUACAUAGCCGACCUGAGAGGGUGAUCGGCCACACUGGGACUGAGACACGGCCCAGACUCCUACGGGAGGCAGCAGUAGGGAAUCUUCGGCAAUGGACGGAAGUCUGACCGAGCAACGCCGCGUGAGGGAAGAAGGUUUUCGAAUCGUAAAGCUCUGUUGUAAGAGAAGAACGAGUGUGAGAGUGGAAAGUUCACACUGUGACGGUAUCUUACCAGAAAGGGACGGCUAACUACGUG